GAAAGAUGAAAAGGGAAGUCUUCAGAUACCAUGGAGGUUGUCACUGCAGGAAGUAGCUACCGCCCCCAGGGCUGAGGAAACAAAGGGAAGAGGUUACAUGAUUAAAACUUAGAAAUCACGAGGGCAGGCCCCAUGGAACUGAAACUUGGACCUCUGAAGAGUGGAUGCUACUUGCUGGUGCUGGUGUCUCUGAGCUCCCAGGACUGUGGGACCCAGACUCGGCGAAGCCUACUGCCAGCUCUGGUCCUGGCGGCCCACUCCACAAAGCGGAUUCUAAGUGUUGGGAAAACUGCAAACUGGAUUCAGUUAUUGCUCUGGGAAGGAACUGUCACUUCUGGAGUGAAGAAGCGUGGCUGGGGUGACACUCCCAGGACCAGGAGGCAGACAAGACAAAGCAAGGCUCUUCCUCUUUCAGCCUCGCAGCUAUGAUGGCAGAAACUAGCACAGAGCCCGCUGGCAGAGCAGAGCUGCAGUCUGCAGGAACCCAGCUGCAGAGCAGAGAAGGGGGCACUUCACACUGAAAGUCAGCAACUUCAUAACUGGCCCAGGAGAUAGUAUAUGGAUGUAAGAAGACAUCACUAUCAGUGAUCCUAACAGCUCCAUGGCAUCUGGCAUCAAGACAAGCAGAAGCGACUGGAGGAGAGGAGGGGCAGGUCAUCGGAAGUCUCUCAAGGCCCUGAGAACAGAUGGACAGGAUCACAAACCCCCUGAGUGCCUGCUAGCCCCCACCCCCUCCACCGCCUCCACGCCCUCCAGUCCCUCAGACCACUCCCUAGCACAUUUCUGACUGGUCACGUUUAACUCUUGAAUUGACCUUGCCAUUGCCAGAACGGAACAUUCCAUCCAGAUAAACCCACAGCAGUUCAUGGAAAAGCUGUGGACAAACAAGGCUGAAUAAAGACAUUUCCUCCUGUGCGUCUGGCCGGUUUUCUUGAGCCUUUUGCCAGGAUUCAUUUCCACCUUUUCUGGAUGACUAGGGCUGGAGGAUAAUGUGGGAUCAGGGACACAGGGCGCUUACCCAGUAAGAGAUUAAUUUUAGUUGCGCAAAGCUGUUUGAAUGAAACUUCAGGUACAUUUAUGAUACGUGUGGGCUCUGAUCCAGUGUGUAAGGCAGUAGGAUGAAGUUUUAAUCUAACAUUAAUGUUUAAAUUCUCUUUGGGGACCUCUGUUAUAUGUAAGUUCGGCACAAAUAUGAUAAAAGAGGGGAAAAGAAUUAUUCAGA